rnacentral:lncRNA from 10 species
AGUCUGAGUUUUUCACAGCUAUAUCUCUGACACCUCUAAACACUUCAGUCGUCGCUUUCGGUUUUUAAUUUCCUUCCCCAUUUUUUUUCUUUACUUUUUUAUAAUGAGACAGGGGUCUCAUUAUGUUGCCCAGGCUGGUCUUGGACUCCUGAGCUCUAGCGAUCCUCCCGCCUCUGCCUCCCAAACUGUUGGGAUUACAGGCGUGAGCCACUGCGCCUGGCCUAUUUCUUUCCCUUUUUGUCUCCUUUCAAUUUUUUUUUUUAAACAAAAAGAGCAGUCUCUUUGAUCCAGAGCUUCACUGGAGGGUGAGGCUGUGGAUCCCAGGGUCCUGCGAGAAAAGCAAGUUGAUUGAAGGAAAAAUCUGUGGUCCGGGGAGAUGUUCCAAAUCCUGGAGGUGGAGAGGAAUGAAUGACGUUUGUGGCUUGCAGAUCAACUCCCCGCAGCGGGCGUGACGUUGUCACAGCCAAAAUUGUCCUCCACGCGCUGCUACGACAUACAGCUGCCCUCUGGACCUCACCCAGGGACACUGCUAUGAUCACUGAGCGAUUCACCAAUAUUCCAGCUCUUUCUCCCUCCAGGUACAAGAGACGAGAAGUCUUGCCAUGUUGCCCGGGUUGGUCUCCAACUCUUGGGCUCAAGACAUCCUCCUGCUUCAGGCUCCCUCAGUGCUGAGAUUUCAGCACACAGAGGAAAGGCCAUGUGAGGACACAGCAAGAAGGCGGCCAUCUGCAAGCCAAGAAGAGAGUCCUCACCAGGAACCAACUCUGCUGACACCUUGCUGUUGGACUUCCAGCCUCUAUAAAUGUUCACAAGCACACCACUGUUUACACCCAUCUAGAAGGCCCCUCCCAGCUGACAUCUUUCUGCCUACCUUUCAGGAAGACAGACGAAACUCUCUGCCUUCAGGUGGGGCAAGAUGGAGUUUUCUGCGUCUUUUACUCCACACCCCCUCCAACCCUCCCCGA